CAUCUAAAGGUAAGGUUCCCGAAGGCCUAGUUUGACAUCCCAUGCUAUGCAACUGAUUAAAGCUUUAUGCAGCAGUAAGUCUAUCUCCCAAGGGAAACUUGCGAGUACAGAUGGGGAGAAGUGGGUCUCAAUUCCUUGUUCCCUCCCACUCGCUAAACUAUUGCUGUUGUGGCUCUCACUGCUGCCCUGGGCCUGUGAAGAGGAGCCAGAAUGCACGUUCAUGUGAUGCGUGCGUUGGGAAAUACAGCGCCACUCUCAAAAGCGAGUCUUCUCGUCUUGCGUUUCCUGCACUCCUACAUUGUUUGCGGUUCUCUAUCUGCGUGAGAGCAGCUGGAACAGGGAAUCUGCCCUCAGAACAUGACUGCUCCUCAGUAGGCGGAGUGUGGGUGAAGGUGCACGGCAUCUGCUUUAGACCACGGCCUGAGGCAGAGCAACCGUGGUUUGCAUUUAAAGAUGCUAGCAUUCUUUAGCAUCAUUACUUCCAUGUUGCAGAAGUGAACGACAAAAUAAAAAAAGGCUUUGACUAAUUUGUUCGCAAGCGAUGGUGUUAAAAAUGUUUCACCCUAUUUCUAAAAAUAAAAUGAUUCGUAAAUAGAUGCUAUUUAAAACGGAAUAUAUUGAUUCAAUGAGUGCUCAGUGGUUGUGUUUGCAAUGCAUAUUUUAUUUUAAUUUUAUAUUGUUAAUCACAAAAUUUUAGUGCUGCUUAUCUUACAUGAGAAAAGUUGGUUUGGGUAGAGGCGGUUACAAAAAAAAAAAAAAACACCUGAUUCAACUAAUCUCAGCCUUGAUUGAUGACUAUGAUUGGUUAAUUAGUUGAAUCGGGUGUAGUCGUGCUCUGCUACAACAAAACCCCGCACACAUGCUGGUCCUUCUCAGAUAAGACUGGGGACCUCUGGCUUGAGAAUGAGAAAACGACUCAAAUUAAAUUAAUAUUAUUAUUUAAAAAAUAUGGUUUUGAAAUGAUUCAUUGUGGCGCAUAGUAGCCUCACCUCUCUGUGGCAUGGAUUCAUUCUGCAAAUCUGUGUCUAUUUUAUCUGUAUAUCUAUCGGGUCUAGAGUUCAAGCUGCCUCAUCACAGUCACAAAAGAUCUAUUUCUACAAUGACAGCAUCGGAUGACUUUGUGUAGCAUUUUGAAAUGUCUGCCCUUAAGAAUAAAACUGAAUACUUUUUUUUUCAUUCCCUGCUGUAAACAAUCUACAGUUAUU